rnacentral:rRNA from 1 species
UAGGGGAUAUAGCACAAUGGGCGGAAGCCUGAUGCAGCAACGCCGCGUGAGUGAUGAAGGCCCUCGGGUCGUAAAACUCUUUUCAAGAGGAAGAGGAAGGACGGUACUCUUGGAAUAAGCCCCGGCUAACUACGUGCCAGCAGCCGCGGUAACACGUAGGAGGCGAGCGCUAUUCGGAUUUACUGGGCGUAAAGCGCGUGUAGGCGGCUGAUCAAGAUGGAUGUGAAAGCUCCCGGCUUAACUGGGAGAGGACGUUCAAAACUGAACAGAUUGAGUAUGAGAGAGGAAUAUGGAAUUCCGGGUGUAGUUGUGAAAUGCGUAGAUAUCCGGAGGAACACCAGUGGCGAAGGCGAUUUUCUGGCUCAAGACUGACGCUCAGACGCGAAAGCUAGGGUA